CAAUCAGACAGAGUCUAUGGCCUGUGAAUCGAGGAUCUGUUCAUUUCUCUCGAAGUAGUUAUUUUAUAACAUCCCAAUCAUCCUUUUAUAGGCAAUCAACACACUGAGUAAUUACAACAUGUGUGUACGUGUAUCAGAACAUGAUCUUAUGACUUGGCUAAAUUCAGAGGUUAGAUAACUAUUGGUUUGUGCCUGUUGCUGUCCAGAUUGUGUGCUUCUGUUAUGAUUAAACCUAUCAAACGAUAACAGAAUGAGGGCUGGAAAUAACACAAAGUGAUGAUCAAAGCGAGGGUGUGGAGCUCAUCAACUUUAAAAACACCAAAAAUCAUUUCUGAUUUGACGUUCAUUUUCAUAAACAUGUAAAUAUGCAGAGUCUCCAACAUAAUGUUCUCUCCUGAAAAACAUCCAGAUAUGAAUUCAGCGAUGAAAUAGCAACAGAAAAUCUUUAAAGACAUAAGCUAACUCUCCUCCUCGUCUUCUGGCUGUGCAGACAGUAAGGCACACAGCAAAGUCGACGAUCACCAUAGCACAGGCCAGCAGGAACAUCCAACAACAAUACACAACAGCAGCCACAGGUGGGCAGGUGAGGACGGGACGGCGUGGCCUACGCCUUAGACAAGCAGAGAAAAACGCACAAGGACUGAGUUGUCAUCUGUCUCUUCAGAUUUUGAUCUGUUCAUCCGGUCCAGUUAAAUUUAAAUAAAAUAAAAAAAAACUCUCAUGUAUGUAGUAGAGCCUAGGUUGAUGGAAAAGAAAUGGUCUCCAUGACUUCAGAAACACAGUUUAAAACUAGUUAGACAGGACAAAGGGACGUGGCACACUCCUGCUGCCAUCACAUUGUGUGUGUCAGUGAAAGUGGAAAUGAGGCUCCUGUUUGUGCUGAAUGUGACCUCUGAGGACAGAACAGUUGGAGACAGCAGAUGGUUCACAGCUUCUUUGUGCUGCACUUUGAUUAGUCAGACUUUAUUCACUGCAUGUGUUUGUUGAUUUUGAUCUCCAUUCAUCCUGCCUGCCAUGGUAACUCCAUUUGAACUUGAUUAGAAGUGGAUUAUUACAUUUCAGUGCUGUCAAACAUCAUUCAGUGCUGAAUAUGAACUCUAAGUUUGAUUGACUCUCAGUAAGUAGGGUUAAAUAAAGUAUUUUAGAAUGAAAUGAAGUAAUUAAUAUAGCCUAUAUGUAAAAAUAUUUAUUUUUAAUUACAGUGACACCUUUUACUUUAUUAAGCCAACAGUUUUUUGAAUGCCCUUUGAGCACAUAAACCUAAUCACAUCUGGGACAGUAUAGUUUCAUUGCAGAACUAUUAAUAAUUCCCUCUGUCGAUAUAAGAACUUCAAUGGCAUUUGUUAUGGCUUUGGCCUGUUUAGAAUUACUAGCAAAAGGCUGUCUGUUUUUUCCUAGUUGCAGUGAUGUUUACGUUCGCGUGGGGUCUUUUCAAGUGCUUUAAUAAGUUGGACGUGUUGCCUGCAAUGUUUUAUGUUCCUCCACCCUGAGGUGUGCUUCUGCUUUGCGGUCCGUGUGGGAAUACAGAUUAAAGUACUUUUGUUCCGCGCAUACUCGCAUCCGAGUAUGUGUACCUUUACACCCCUAUCAGUAAGUGUCAGUAAAGUUGUUGAUGAAUGAACAAAUGAUAACCUGCAGCUGUGUUGUGUCUCGUUCUCUC